GCACUCAGCUCUGAGUUACCAUGGACUCGCUGAUCUAAGGCCACAGCCACCUCCCUCAGCCCCAGCCUCGAGACUUCUUCUUGUUCUUUGAGGGAAGCUAAGCAGCCUUGGCUGCCUGGAGCAUCCUUGGCUGUUGUAACCACCCAUCCCACGCAGAGCUGCUGACACUUCUGGGCGGCCAGCUGGUCCAUGCACACUUCUGGCGUUCACUUCUGGCUCAGCUUCUCUGGAUGUCUCUCUGCACCCUAUUCCCACCCGUGGGCUGGUGCAGAAUGAGUGAGUCAGGGCUAGGGUGAGAGGUGGUCAAGGAUCAAAGACCACACUUGGACAGGUGCUUUCCGGUGGAGCUAAUGCAGCCAAGCCCUGCCUGGAGGGAGCAGGGAGAUGAGGCGAGGGACAGACAACGAGACUGAGCUAAGAGGGGCUGAGAGCCAUGCAGGUGGGAGCAGAGAGAGCGGGAGGCUUGGGAAGACUCCGGAAGGGCAAAGUCCCUGGGUGAGAGAGAAGAAUGUGGGAUAAAACGCUUAUCAAGGACGCUCUGUGAUGGGACGAUGGCUUUGUGGAAAGGCAUGUGGUGGAAUGAGGCUUUCUCCCUUCCUCUUUCACCCCCUCUCUCUGACUGGGGAACGCCCACACAACCAUCUCUGCAGAUCUCCUCUCCAGGACCUUCAAUCCAUUCCAAGAAAGAGCCUCUGAUCUCUUGCCUGGGGGAGAGGCAUGGAAAGUGGUGUACAGCUUGGCUCCUGGCUGGGAACUGGGUGGAGGAAGUGGUGAUGGUAUCUUGGGGAGAGCAUUUGACCUUUCCCUUGUGCUGUCCACACAGGCCACCACCCAGACCUGAAGCCCCUCAGUGUGCCCAAACCCGGGCUCUUCUGCUUUGCCUCGACUAGAGUACACGCCUGUCUGCUGCCAGUGUGGAGGAGGGAAGCCUUUGGGGCUGAACUGUAUCCCCUGGCACCUUGGAGAACCUACAGCACGAGUGCCGUAGCGGGCUGUUUCUAUCACUGAAAGCUCUGAGAGGUUCGCCAUUUCGCCAUCACUGCCCUGGGCUAUUUAUGGAGACAGAGCCCUGAAAGAUGCAACUGAGGUAAACGGAGGUCAUCAGACGGCCCCCAGGCCUGGUGUGCUUAGGAGACCAGUGGGAAGGCCCCGGGAAGACGCAGGAAAAUGCUCACCCAGCAGUCAAGGAGAGGCCACGAAGAACCCGACCUUGCUGGC
rnacentral:lncRNA from 1 species